rnacentral:rRNA from 1 species
AUUCCAGCUCCAAUAGCGGAUAUUAAUGCUGCUGCAGUUAAAAAGCUCGUAGUCGUAUCUAGGGCAUGGGCGGAGGGUCCCUCGUAAGGGGUGCACUCUGCGUUCCAUCCUCCCUCGCGGCUUGUCGCCCGGUUCUCUUAACUGAGUGCCGGGUGCGGCCGGAACGUUUACUUUGAAAAAAUUGGAGUGUUCAAAGCAGGCGUAGCAGCCUGAACAGUAGAGCAUGGAAUAAUGGAAUAGGACCUCGGUUCUAUUGCGUUGGUUUUAAGAGUCCGAGGUAAUGAUUGAGAGGGACUGACGGGGGCAUUCGUAUUGCGGUGUGAGAGGUGAAAUUCUUGGAUCGCCGCAAGAGACCGGUAGCGAAAGCGUUUGCCAAGAAUGUCUUUAUUGAUCAAGAACGAGAGUUAGAGGUUCGAAGGCGAUCAGAUACCGCCCUAGUUCUAACCAUAAACUAUGCCGACCGGCGAUUCGCCGGCGUUAUAUCAAUGACACGGCAAGCAGCUUCCGGGAAACCAAAGUUUUUGGGUUCCGGGGGAAGUAUGGUUGCAAAGCUGAAACUUAAAGGAAUUGACGGAAGGGCACCACCAGGAGUGGAGCCUGCGGCUUAAUUUGACUCAACACGGGAAAACUCACCCGGCCCGGACACCAGAAGGAUUGACAGAUUGAUAGCUC